ensembl:lncRNA
GGCGAAGGGCACGAAGCCACUGAUUAGGAAGCGAAAAGGAAAAAAAAAGUCCCGGCUUCUAGAAAGACUUGAAUGUUCGACCCCUGCCUGAGUCUGACUUGGCCCUGCAACGCCACCAAGUACACGACUUGGAGUUUGUCGCCUACCUGCUCACAGGCCUCGGCGCGCGCGUUAAGGUGGUGGAGACGGCGGCCGCAGCCCUUCCCUCUCCAGUUUGCUUUCUAGAGGCAGGUUGAGAGAAGAAACGUGUGAGCGUGUAAUUACAGAAUGGGAUCAGGUGAGGAAGGAGACAGACCAGGUGCAGGAUGGAAAUGGGCAGGCGGUUCCUUUAAAAUGAAAUCUAACCCUUUGGGGCUGCGCCGGGCUGGCUAAAUUUGUCACGUGUCUGAGGCCUUAACUCCUGCCAGCCACCCAGAGCCCUUGUGGCCCGACUGUCACUUUGCCGGGUGGAUCCUGGGUCACCUUCUGAACUCUCUGCCUGCCUGGUGAGCCCCUCAGGGGCCAGGAAGCCUGGUCGUAUCUCACACUCUGGAGACUCAUGGGAAUUCCAUCUAACGCAUGUGGCCCAGAUCCCUUUGGUUUCGAAGCCAGGCACUGGUGAGACACAUAAAGAAUACUUCUUGAGGGGAUGGGCGUCCCCACACUCCAGCUGACUGUAGGAAGGACAGGAGGAAGAAGGGCUGUCAGCAAAGGAAUCAUGCUCAGGAAACCGUCCAUGCCGGAAGUCAGCCCGGGAGCCCUACUGGACCCAGAAUGUCCAUGUCACACACACAGGCUGGUGGACUCAGAAAGGCACAUCACACACACAGGCUGGUUAGGAGAGACGAAGGGUUGAGGGCAAAAAACUGACUGAUCAGCCUCUCCUCCGGAAGUUUGGGCCCUCAGAUGUUGCCUCGAUUACCUAUCGCAAGGAAGAAAUGCCAGAAUUCACCCAGGCCCUUGCUGACGCAGGGCACUAGAGAGAGAGAAACCACUGGGCUGAUUAUCUUGGCUUUAUCCUCCACAUCUGUUUCAGCUCAGCAUCUCUGCUUCUCAUCUUUAAAGAGAUGGCUGCAAGGCUAGAGAAUCUCAGAGCUGGAAAGGGUCUGAGAGACCUCACAUCUCACCUCCUUCUUUCGGAGAUAAGAGCCGUGUCACUUGAGAGGCCGUGACUCACUCAAGGCCACACGGCGUGGGGGGUGGGGGGUGCGGGGUGGGGAGCUGGGAUUGCAGCUCUCCCUUCCCAGGCCAGAGCUUUUCCCAGUUCUCCAAGCUGCCUCUCGGAUCCCGCCAAGUUGUUCCCACGCUGGCCUGGUUUAGGCCUCAUUAGUAAGAAAAGCUGGCUGUGGUCCUUUCUCAUCCCCCCACCCCCACUGCCUCUCGAAAAAGAAAGGAGAUGCUCUUCCAGAACAGAGCCAGGAUGGUUUUGCUUGUCAUCUGAUGUCUGGGAGUGCCCAUGCCAGGCUCCACUCCAGGGGUACAGCUCCUUGCCCUCACAUGGUGUCAUAAAAGAAUUCACCCUCCUGCCAACCUUGAGCAUAGAAGGCCGUUUCUCAGCUGGGACUCAAGCCACCUUGGGGGCCAAGACAUCAGAGAGACUGUGCUCGGCUCUUACCAGCUGUGUGCUCCUUGGCCAAGGUCUGUCCUUGGAAGGCAGGUGCUCCCCAAGGAGUCCCAACCCCAUUUCCUGGCCAGUCACCUUCACCCAAGCCAAGUCGAGACUCUCUCUGGAAGGUGCUCCACAUCCAUUCUGGAAGGGAGGAAUAUUCCCACCUCCAGUCCUUUUUUUAUUUCCAGCCACACUUCCAGUAGUCAUGUACGGAUAUGAAAGUUGGACUAUAAAGAAAGCUGAGCGCCGAAGAAUUGAUGCUUUUGAACUGUGGUGUUAGAGAAGACUCUUGAGAGUCCCUUGGACUGCAAGGAGAUCCAACCAGUCCAUUCUGAAGGAGAUCAGCCCUGGGAUUUCUUUGGAGGAAAUGAUGCUGAAGCUGAAACUCCAGUACUUUGGCCGCUUGAUGCGAUGAACUGACUCCUUGGGAAAGACCCUGAUGCUGGGAAAAAUUGAAGGCGGGAGGAGAAGGGGACGACAGAGAAUGAGAUGGUUGGAUGGCAUCACCGACUCAAUGGACAUAAGUUUGAGUAAGCUCCUGGAGUUGGUGAUGGGCAGCGAGGUGUGCUGCAGUCCUUGGAGUCCCAAAGAGUCAGCCACGGAGGAGCGACUGGACUGACUGACACUGCGUGGCUUAUGGGAUCUUAGUUCCCCGGUGUACAUGCUAAGUCGCUUCAGUUGGUUGACUCUGCGACCCUAUGGAUCAUUGCCCGCCAGGCUCCUCCAUCCAUGGGAUUCUCCAGGCAAGAAUACUGGAGUGAGUUGCUAUGCCCUCCUCCAGGGACUCUUCCCACUCAGGGAUGGAACUCCCAUCUCUUGCGUCUGCUGCAUUGACAGGUGGAUUCUUUACCACUAGUGCCACCUGGGAAGCCCCUUAGUUCCCCUACCAGGGGUCAAACCCCGGGCCCUUGGCAGUGAAAGCACUAACCACUGACCACCAGGGAACUCCCCCUCCCUAUUUUUUUUUUUUAACAGAUGUGGAAAUCCAGGUUCAGAGCGGUUAAGUUACCUGCCCAUGGUCACCCAGCUAGUGAGGGGCAGAGUCAGAAUUUGAACUCUGGUUCAAACCCAUCUCUUUCUGUGGCACCCCUCCACGUGCCCCAAAGGAGCUCGAGGCAUCUCAAGACACCCUUCCCGUGCUCAGAAGUAGUCCCCCCUGGCUUGCCUGGGUGCCUGAAACCCCCCCACUGGAGUAUCUGCUGCUGACCCCAGCCUUUUAAGCAGGAAAGGCCAGGGAUGGACAGGGGGAGGGUAUACAAAGGUUUGAUCAGGGUGGGACCAACCUGGGCCCCAGGGGCGAGGGCUUGGGGGCAGGGGAAGUGGCCCAGGGGAGAAAAGGCUGACUGGGGGAGGCGGGGCCCAGAGGCUGGCAGGACAGGGCAUGAGGGAGCACCAGUGGGGAUGAGGGAGGCUCCCUCCAAACCCCACAGGGCCGGCUCUGGGGCAGGGACUGGCUUUGGAGUGGAAGGGCCCAGCGUGACUGGGAGGCAUUAGUCAGCGGUGGAGGUUUAUGAAAGGAGGAAUUGUCCGGAGCCUCCUUACUCACCAGGCCAACUGGGCUGUCCCAGAGAGCGGGAGCAGGGCCGGUAUCAGAAGGGGACCGGGAACUCCGAGCUGCUCACUGCCCAGGUUGAAUGGCCCCAGGCAUCUGGGGGCCACGCUCGGGGGCCCUGUCCGGCCUCACGGCCUGUGAGUCACAGUCCUUGGCUGGCGGGCUGAGUGUCUUCAUUGUCCUCUCGGCCAGGGGACAGCGGGGCCCGACUCCCUCCUCCUGGGAGAAAGGACGCCCCGGGCUGAUUCACCAGUUUAUCACCCUGCUGCCCCCUCCGUCUGAGGCCCCCAGCAUAUUCACCUCCCAUCCCUUCUUCAGUCUUUCAUACAGUCAUUCUUUUUCUUAUUGUUGUUUUGCGUCAAUCUUUAUUUUUCCAAUUUGCAACAGUAAUCUAUUGACUGUUAUUCCGCCUUAAAAGGGGAUGAAAUACUGACCUACGCUACAGCAUGGAUGAACCUUGAGGACACUAUGCUAAGUGAAUAAGCCGGCUGCAAAAGGACAAAUUCUGUAUGAGUCCGUGCAUGUGAGGUUCCUAGAAUAGUCAAAAUCUUCAGGGCAGAAGUUAGAGUAGAGGUUGACAGGUCAAGGGGAGAAGGCAGCAGGCUUUGUGCUUUAAAGGUGCAGAGUUUGAGUUCGGCAAGGUGGAAAGUGUUCUGGAGAUGGACCGUGUUGAUGGUGGCAAAGCAAAGCUGAUGUACUGAGACCGUACACUUCAAAAUGUCUAAAACCGUAAAAGUUUAUAUUUUGUAUAUUUUAUCACAAAAGCAAAGAUGAUCUAUUAUUCAAACGAUACAGAAAAGUAGGAAAAGUAGAGACCUCCCUGUUGGCUAAGAUUCCGAGCUCCCAAUGCAGGGGGCCUGGGUUCGAUCCCUCGUCGGGGAACUAGAUCCCACCCGCUGCAACUAGGAAUCUGCCUGCUGCCACGAAGACUGAAGAUCCUGAGUGCCGAGACUAAGACCUGGCUCAGCCAAAUAAGUAAAUCAAUUAAAAAAAUUUUUUUAAUGUUUUUAAAGUAAAAGGUAAAUGUCCUCACCCCAGCCUCUGGAAUAUUUCAGACUUAACUUCUGUUCCUGUAUAAUCAUAGAUGUGACUUUAACAAAAAGUCAGUGUGUGAUGGGAAGGGUGCCCGCCACACUCCUGGUCUUUCUCCCUUUGAAGGACACACGCGUCUCACUAACCCCAGGUGCCAGCCCAGCGCCAGGUGGCAAGGUCGAUAACCACCAUCUGGCAGGAGCUCAGCGGUGUCUCCUGUGGGGCUUAAACCCUCACACACAUGAACUCACUUCAUCCUUCCACCAGCGUGGUGAGGAAGGGGUUGUUCAUGCCCUCCUCAAAGCCCAGUUCAUAAAUGAAGACUCAGAGGCUUUCAGAGUUGAGGGAUGUGCCCAGAUCGCAUCACUAGAUGGAGGCAAAGCAGGAGGUAUUUCCCCCCUGAGCCGUUAAGUUGUUCUGUAGACAGAGAUGGGCCACGAGCAGAGUGAUGGUUUGUAGCAGGGGUCCCCAGCCUCCAGGAUGAACUGGGGUGGGGCUGAGGUCAUGACAACAGGAAUAAAGUGCGCGGUACAUGUAAUGUACCUGAAUCAUCCCGAAACCUCCCCCCCACCCCGAGUGCAAAUUGUCUUCCACGAAACCGGUCCCUGGUGCCAAAAAGGCUGGGGCCGGCGGGUUUACAGCACAUUUGCUCACUUCAUAGUAAUCCCUUAAUUUCUGGCUUCCCUGGGGCAGGGCUCCUGUGGUCUCUCUCGCUAACUGGCCCUCCUCAAGCCCUGGAACACAGUAGGUGUUCAACAAAUAUUUGCAGAGAGGCUAGUUCUCAUUCAUGUCUCUGUCUGAUCAUCCCCCACAGCCCUGUGAAGUAGAUAAUUAGGAAAUCUGAUGGCUGCCGGUCUUACUCAUCCGGCUAGCAGGCAAGAUGGUCACACGGCCGGGCUGGGCUGCUAAGGUGGAGCCCCAGGCUUCUGGCUCCCUUCCCAGGCCUUUCCAAUUCAGCUGUCGAGGCCUGGGCCCCUGAUGUUACAGAACAAGGAUAAUUAAUUGGGAGCAGGAACACUUUGAGUCAUAACCAGCAAUAAUAAUAAUAAUAAUUGCAGUCAUACUCAUUGCAAUCUUUAACUCAUAUAAACCUGUAUCAGUAGCACCAAUGAGGCACUAAUGUUAUCUCAGGGCUUCAGUUAGGCCUGGAAGUUCAAUUGUAAGUGCCUCAACAUCACACACAGUUCAGAGGCGGCGGAGCUGGGAUUCAGGCUCCAGCCGGCUCCAGGGCCCAGAGGCCACACACCACUAAACACUUGAGGACCGAUUAGUAUUGUCAGCUGGACCCACGGCACAGCCAGGCUGAACUUUGGAGAGAGAUAGGGCCGAAUCCCACCCUCAUUCAUUCUUUUGGUCAGCAAGCCUGUACUGAGCCACACCCUUGAGCUCGACCAAGUGUCUGUCCCCAGGACUUGACCUGACCUGGACGGAGGCUCGCCCCACCCCAGCAGAGCCUUUGGCCUGGUGGGAGAGGCCGAUGUCUUAAUUACACGGCUAAUUGUCUCAUUAGAGCAAAGAUGAGUACCACUCGAAGGGUUUGGGUUCUGCCAGCCUCCUAGGGCACAGGCCUGGCCUGGGGGAGCUAACAUCUCUGCUGAAAUUUGAAGGGUGGGCCGGGGUCAGGUGAGCGGAGUGGGAGAGCUUUCCAAGCAGAGAGGGCAGUGGCGUGGCUCUGACUAGAACAAAACUGCUGUGGCUGGAGCUGGGGGCACAGGUUCGAUCCCUGGUCAGGGAACUAAGAUCUCACUGGAAAAAAAAAAAAAAGAAGUUGCCAUUCCCCCUCCAGUUGGUGGGGCUGGAUGGGUCCUCCCAGGAGCAUCGAUUCCACUCCCCACCGCGCGUCUGCACAGCUGUUUGCACUGGACACCACGCUCUUGGUCCUGUUUGACCCUCAUGACCACGUGGAGGGAGCAAAGUCCGGCUUCCCGAGCAGGGCCUGCGACCCUGGAGGUGAUAAGGCAGCCCUGAUCACGGGGCUCUAACCGUCGAAGCUGCUGCAGAGCCGAUGGCCGGUUGGAAGGGAAGCCCCUCCAGGGUCUUCUGACUGCCUACCCAAGCGACACCUGCCCCGAGGGACUGGGGCAGAACCUGAGGAGGAAAACUACAGUAAGAAGGAUCUUCGAAACCCCUGCUGAGUGUGCCUUUUGGUUCACAAAGCGCUUCUAUAUCCCAUUCUCAGCACGAAACAGAAGGGUAGGGCCUGGGAGCCAGGCUGCGGUGAUACAGGCCUCAGUUCACCCCUUUGCUGGCCUGUAACCCCCAGACCUCACCUCUCUGAGCCUCAGUUUCCUCCUCUGCCCAGUGAAAGCAGCAACGCCACUUCUCUCUUCCCAUGGCUCACGGCUGCGUGUCUGGCCAGCCUGUGGCUGCCUCGCUCCUGGCCCUGCUGCCUCCUUCCCCCCCGCCAGGGUGCUGCCUUUGCGCCGCACCAGACACCCGGCCUCUGCCAGGCGGGGAGCUGACUCAGACCUCGGUCCACCAACACGCUGCCGGGGUGGACGGGCCCAGACAGCCAGGGGAUUCUUGUCCCGACUCCCCUCCGGCAGCCAGGCAGCGUUUGGCAGGCCCGGCUGGGGCCUGGGUGAGAAAGAGGGAGGCGGGGAGGGGAGCCCCCGAUGGGAAGGCUCGGAUUUAGCCAGCGCAGGCCUUUGUGUUCUGAAAUGCCAGGCCAGGGCAGUGAGCUCUGCCAACGAGGAGACUGGCCUCCAACAAUAAUGUUUUUCCCUGGGUUUCCAGAAAGCAUCAGCUGCUUUCUAAUUCAAACCAUCAGGAGGAGGUUCACAUGUGCUGAGUCUCAAAACCCCCGAGAAAGAACACGGCUGCCCCUUGCCAGACAAGAGCUGGCCUGGAUGGGACAGGGGAGGUGGGGUAGGGUGGGCAUGGCCAAGGGGUCCCUGGAUGCGAGACUGAGCACCUCCCUGGGCCCCCACGUGUCCAUCCCAGACCUGCAGCUGGGAUCUCCCCAGGGCUGGCUUGCUGGUCACUCUAGCCAUGUCCACAGGGGUCACUCCCCCUUGUGCCAGAAACUGCCAGGCAUUGGAGUGGUCACUGUGUCUGUUAACUGUGGUUCACACUGACCGAGCACAUGUCCGCCAGCAUUCGCACCAACUGCUUUCCAGCCACAGUCUCUGGGCCACCUGCUAUUAUUCCAUUCUACAGACUAGAAAGAUGUUCGUCUCAGCCAGGUGAAGUUCCCCGGGCUUCCAGCCCUGGGGCUGCCUCCGGCGCUCCCCUGCCAGGCCUUGCUGCUCGGCACACAAAAGAUGUAAGACUCGCCACUUCACAACUACUAGGCUGGCAAGAGUCAGAAAGUCAGAUAAUGACAAGUGACGGCCAAGACGUGGAGAAAUCCAUCCUUGCACGCUGCUGGUGGGAAUGGGAAAUGGUUCAGCCACUUUGGAACACAGUCUGGCGGUUCCUCAACUAAACACAGAGUUACCGUAUGACCCAGCAGUGCCACUCCUGGGUAUCUACCCAGGAGAAACCAAAACACACGUCCUCACAAAGACUCAUAUGGGAAUACUCACAGCAGCGUUAUUCAUCAAAGCCAAAACGUGGAAACGAGCCAAAGGCAUAAACAUACUGUGGUCUGCCCGUACAAUGGAAUAUUAUUCAGCCAUACAAAGGAUGAAGUGCUGAUACACACUACAACAUGGAUGGCCCUUGAAAGCAUUGUGCUGAGCGAAACGAUCCAGUCGUAAGUCCACAUAUUGUACGGUUCCACUCGUGUGAAAUAUCUGCUCUAGGGAAAUCCACAGAGACACACAGGAGGGACUGGGGGUUAGGGGGACCAUGUGGGGCAGGUGAGACAGACAAAAGGUCCAGGAUCUACUUUUUUUGGGGGGGUGAUGAUCAAAAUGUCUUAAAAUGGACUGUGACCGUGGUUGCCCAGCUCUGUGAAUACACUAAAAAAUCAUUUCAAUGGGGUAAUUGCAUGGUGUGUAAAUUCCAUCUCAGUAAAAAUGUUUAAGAAAGAAAGGAUUUAUGGUGUAGCCUUUAAGGAGCUCACAGAUGAGAGAAGAAAGCAAUGAGAGAAAUGCCAACAAUUCCAUUCAUGACCUAAGAAAGCACAGGUCAUUCCAUCUGAGACUCUGAGGGCAUAGUGCUAUGGGAAGGGAGGAGGACUGUCUCUCAGCCCAGGGAGCUGGAGCAAAGAGGGAGGCAACCCAGGGAAGCUUCCUGGAGUAGGUGACACUGGAC